GGAGAGGUGGCCGAGUGGUUGAAGGCGACGGUCUUGAAAACCGUAGGCACGCAAGUGCUCGUGAGUUCGAAUCUCACCCUCUCCGCCA
rnacentral:tRNA from 1 species